rnacentral:rRNA from 1 species
UGGGGAAUCUUGCGCAAUGGGCGAAAGCCUGACGCAGCAACGCCGCGUGCGGGAAGAAGGCUUUCGGGCUGUAAACCGCUUUCAGCAGGAACGAAAAUGACGGUACCUGCAGAAGAAGGAGCGGCCAACUAUGUGCCAGCAGCCGCGGUGAUACAUAGGCUUCAAGCGUUGUCCGGAUUUAUUGGGCGUAAAGAGUUCGUAGGCGGUCGAGUAAGUCGGGUGUGAAAAUUCUGGGCUCAACCCAGAGACGCCACCCGAUACUGCUUAACUUGAGUUCGAUAGGGGAGUGGGGAAUUCCUAGUGUAGCGGUGAAAUGCGCAGAUAUUAGGAGGAACACCGGUGGCGAAGGCGCCACUCUGGAUCGACACUGACGCUGAGGAACGAAAGCAUGGGUAGCGAACAGG